AUGAAGGCUAGGGUUUGCCAAUUGAGGGUUGAACUCAAAUCCACCAAGAAAGGGAACAAAUCCAUCAUAGAAUUUGUGUUGCGAAUCAAAGCUAUUGCAAAUUCAUUGCUAGCGGUUGGUGAUUCCAUUACGAAGCAAGACCAGAUUGAUUCGAUAUUGAAUAGAUUGCCUGAAGAAUAUAGUCCCUUUGUUAUGCAGAUGUAUGGCUGCCCUAUUCCACACAUGCUCUGUAAUGUUGAAGCUUUGCUCUACGUGCAAGAAGCGCAAUUGGACAAAUUAUGUUAA